UACGUAGGGGGCUAGCGUUGUCCGGAUUUAUUGGGCGUAAAGAGCGUGUAGGCGGCCAGGUAGGUCCGUUGUGAAAACUCGAGGCUCAACCUCGAGACGUCGGCGGAAACCAUCUGGCUAGAGUCCGGAAGAGGAGAGUGGAAUUCCUGGUGUAGCGGUGAAAUGCGCAGAUAUCAGGAAGAACACCCGUGGCGAAGGCGGCUCUCUGGGCCGAUACUGACGCUGAGGAGCGAAAGCGUGGGGAGCAAACAGG
rnacentral:rRNA from 1 species